AAAUUGCAUUUAGUUACAGCUAAUAACAAAAAUAUACAUUAUUUUACCUUUAUUAUCAUUAAAUCAAUUCGUUCAAUUUAGAUUAAAGUGAAUUUAUUUAAAGACGACGAUGAUAACUACAAAAUAUUUCAGUUUCUAAACUAUCAACAUCAUUUGUGAACGGUACGUGAAAGAAUUAAUCAUGUAUUAGUGAGAAAUGAAUGUGACUUCGUGGUGAGAUUUAGACUAGGCUAGGUUACGUUUUCUUUACACAUUUCAAUAUUAUGGUAACAAAAAGUAUAGUAAAGCACGAUUUAAGAUAAUAUGGUUUCCCAUCGAGUAGAGAUAAAUCUGACCUACAGAUCCAAUCUACAAAUCCAAUACAAAUUUUCGAGCAAUAGUUAACAUUCCAAACGGAUAAAUAUCCAACCAUUAUCAUUAAGUGUUUUUUUUUUUUAUUGAAGAACGUGGUAUUCAUACCAAGAUAAUCGAUAUCGUCUUAAAUCGUGGUGACAAUAUUAAAAAAUCUGUGAAAACAGAUUAUUAGAAUCUCUAGUAGUAGAUCGAAACCGUUGAUUUCUGAAUUGAACUCUGUGGUCACAAAAUGAAUAGGUACAAUAUCACUCAUGGAUGGGCCACUAUAUUAUCUUAAAUCGCAUAGUGAAGUAAAAAUGUAUAAAAUUAAAAUACAACUAGACAAUAAAUUUAAUCACGCAACAGAAAUCAGAUUAAUUAUUAAUUAAAAUAAUAAUAUAAUAAUAAUGUAUAAUAACCGAAUGAUUCCUUAUCGAUUUUUAUCAUUGACCAAUCACAAUUAAAUAAGUCUAUGUAACUUGUAUACAUAUGUAUUAACUAUGCCAAUGACUUUAUUCAUUAGAUAACUAUUUAUAAAAUAAAAUUACAUUGAUAAUAACUUUCAAAAGGUUAUCGAAAAACAGGAUCUUAACUAAGGUUAGAUUAGUUAUUUGCAUUCCGUUACAAGCAAAGCUUAAAUAUUUAUGACAAUUUUUAUUUUUGGUUCAAGACAUAAAAAAAAUUUAAUUCUUACCAUCUGAUAUAACAAGUAUACCCC